AGACUAAAUAUCCUAUGACAAUUAUGUUGCAUAUCGAGGCUGAGAAAAGAGCACAACACUGCAGACAACAGCUGUUCCUGUACAUUGUUGCAGUACUGUACCAGACAGCACAUUACUCUCAGCUUGGCAUCAGUGCAGUUCCUCCAGUGCACAGCUGUACUGAAACUAAACAGAGAUGGCACAAACCCCGAACAAGGUGCCGUAAGUGUGAAUGAAUUUUUCAAGAAUUUUAAGAAUAAAUUAUAUGAAAUGCUUGCUUUCCUAACAUCAUUUCAUGUGGCAAAUAACAUUGUUUUAAAUUCAAUUCAUUGCUCUUUAAUAUAACUAAAACUUGUGUGUCAGAUUAGUGAGAUGUCCAAGACAUGCAUUGUUGGUGGACCUCCAGUAACAGGUAUGGCAAACACUGGUUCAUAAUAAAGUGACCAUUGGUAUUUCAUUUUUUACAAAAAUGCAUGAAUUCGCUACAGGAGGCCUUUAAUCACCCCCCGGAGCCGUGUGAUGGACGUUUUAUUAUGGAUGCGCGCACUUUAUUUCUCGUCUUCUGAACUGUUUACAAUCCCAUUGAAAGGCUUGGAGGCCCAGGACCAUUUUUAUGCGUCCUAUAUAACAACAGGUUUAAUGCAUCUAAGCUGGCCAAGCCUGUUGUGAUUGGCACAAAGAGGAGCACUUGAUCAGAAGCCAACGAAGAUAAAAGGCAAGAUUAGAGAAGCAGUCCUCGGAGUACCUUGUAAAAAGGUGUUACCAGCGACCUGCAUGUGCCAGAGGUGUAUAAGGACUUUGACAGCACUGUCCCUUUAUUGACCACAAUGGCGAUGUCCAGUGAUGAUUCGUUGGUGGAUUCUGCUUUUGGUAAAGUUCAGGCUGGGAGUGUUCUGUCAUACCAACAGCCAGCAGCAACAACACGUAACAUUACUCCACAUCAAGAUGUCCCACCACAACCACCUCUGCCACUAGAUGGUUACAACCUUGACCCAUCUGUGUGCUUAUAGUACAUAGUAAACAUGAAAUACUACACAUGAAGUCACUUGCUGUAACUCUGGUAACACCACACACGAUUAAGCAUGCCACCAAAGACCAGAGUGCAUCGAUAGAUUAGCACUCCAUUAGAAAGCAACAAGUAACAUCAUCCUGAUUUAAACAUGUUUGCCAUAAAUGGGGCAGAGCUCUGCUAAACACUUUGCUGAAAGUAUCUACUAAUAGUACUCACCAGACAGCACUUGAACUGGAAUCUGCAGUGGUGGAGGAAUGCUGUCUACUCCAUGGAGCAUUUUAUGUGCCCAAAUGUAAAAUGUUAUGUUGACUGCCCUUAAAGGGAUACUCCGUCCCAAAAUGAAAAUUUUGUCAUUAUUCACUUUACCCCAUGUCGUUCCAAAC
ensembl:lncRNA